UUUACUUUAAAUUUUUCUUAUGGCUCAGCCUGUGAUGGAUAACUGAAUCAAACAAAUGGCGUCUGGGUUUAAGAAGAUCUGUUUUGGCUAUGUUGGACGAAACAAGUGAACUUUUAGGAUCAACUUCCGUUUAUAUACGGAGCUUAUAUCGAGCAAUAAGAUAAGUGGGCUUUUUAUGUAAUUUAAUGGGCUAUCGUCCAUAUAUUCACUAAUACCCAUGCCCAGUACCCAUGUAUGCGUUUCAUAUAAGCUCCUAAUUUCUCCCACAUCGCUCAAAUCUAAACAAAUCUUGUUGUAUAUAUAACACUGAGGGAGCACCAUUGGUCACGACCUUACUUGAACAGGAUCUGUUCUAUAGGCUCGUACCUCUGUUUCCUUGAUUUCUCAAGAGACAGGCCCUUAACCCUGGUUGAUGAACCAUGACCGUGCGGCUAGAGCGUGAUUGACGGCUACGAUCGUCCUCGGACGCAUCCGGUGCUGUAGAGGAUCGUUACUCGGCUCGGUUUCUACCUUGCCGGGGUGGUCGCACGGCGGUCUGACAGGUCCCUUUCCUUUUUUCUUUUUUUUGCCAUAAACUUAAAUUUGUAUAUCGAUCAUUGUAGAUAUUGAAAACCUAGAACAAACCAACAUCCAUGUGAAUGUCUUUCAUGACUGAUUUAGAGAUAAUUCUUGAAUUUUGGAACUAGAAUCUAUAAUGAGCCU